GGCUCAGAGCGAACGCUGGCGGCAGGCUUAACACAUGCAAGUCGAGCGGGCGUAGCAAUACGUCAGCGGCAGACGGGUGAGUAACGCGUGGGAACGUACCUUUUGGUUCGGAACAACACAGGGAAACUUGUGCUAAUACCGGAUAAGCCCUUACGGGGAAAGAUUUAUCGCCGAAAGAUCGGCCCGCGUCUGAUUAGCUAGUUGGUGAGGUAAUGGCUCACCAAGGCGACGAUCAGUAGCUGGUCUGAGAGGAUGAUCAGCCACAUUGGGACUGAGACACGGCCCAAACUCCUACGGGAGGCAGCAGUGGGGAAUAUUGGACAAUGGGGGCAACCCUGAUCCAGCCAUGCCGCGUGAGUGAUGAAGGCCCUAGGGUUGUAAAGCUCUUUUGUGCGGGAAGAUAAUGAC
rnacentral:rRNA from 2 species